UACGAAGGGGGCUAGCGUUGUUCGGAAUUACUGGGCGUAAAGCGCGCGCAGGCGGUCUUCCAAGUCAGUGGUGAAAGCCCGGAGCUCAACUCCGGAAUUGCCUUUGAAACGGGAUCGCUAGAGUCCGAGAGAGGAUGGCGGAAUUCCUAGUGUAGAGGUGAAAUUCGUAGAUAUUAGGAAGAACACCGGUGGCGAAGGCGGCCAUCUGGCUCGGUACUGACGCUCAGGCGCGAAAGCGUGGGGAGCAAACAGG
rnacentral:rRNA from 1 species